rnacentral:lncRNA from 1 species
UGCUUCUUCCUUUAUUAUCAUAUACCGUGAUGAUGAAGGUAUGUCAUUCAUAACCUUCGUCUGAAGAUCAUUAUAUCCUAAGGAAAUAAUGCUUCGAAGGACGAAGGGUAUUGACAUUUAACAUUUUGUGUUGCCUUGUUCCCGAAGCCGAAGCGUUUGAGAACAAGUCCCCAACAAUAAUAACAGAGUGUAUAGAGAUAAAUGUCACAAUAACAUCAGAGUAUUUAUUACAAAGCGGAAGUCUUAUUACAAAAUAAAAGAUAAAUAUAAAAUGAACUAAGGAUCAUCCUUGGCGCAAAAGUCAACUAGGGAAACGCCACCUAGAUUAGAUCAAACUCCUCGCUUUGAGGCUCCUCUUGAACCACCUGAUCUUCUCCUGUGGGGGUGUGAGAUAGCAAGGGUGAGCUCACACAUGAUCAUAGCUCAACAAGUUGUGGGGAAACCAGUGGGCAUGAACUCACCAAAGGUGGGAGCUCAUGUGAUGUGUAAGGCUAAUCAACAACAGAGGUUAAAGCUGAGCAUUGCUUUUAAUUAGUUGGUAAAAAUUUUAUUAUUAGUUACUAAAUGUAAGUAAAUACCAAACCUUAAUAAAAGUAGUAGAACAAAAUUAAUAAAUAAUCCCAUGCAUAUGCAAAUAACAAAAUUGAAUUUAAGUUACAUAAAUUAAUCAUGCGAAUGUCCUGAGCUGCUCUUGACCGUGAGCUCGGCUAGUAUACCAGUUUUGCACUCUGCAGAGGUUGUACCCUUUACCCACAAGUCAUGUUACCCAUCUGGCAAGGGAUCGUGACUCCCAUACACCUCUACCUAGGAAGCGAGGCAGGGCAACACUACGAGGCCUUUGCAAAGUUCCACUAGCUUCCGAAAACCCACUACAGUUUAUGGGAAGAGCACUUGCAAGAAUCCCCCGUCUGACCGCCAUCGCAGCAAAAUCAACCCGAGAACCUCCUUGCAUGCAGCUCCCCUACUACCCUUGCCCCUUUUGGGUAAGGUAGUCUUCCACUAGCUUUCCUAAUUAGUUAGCCAAGGGGUCCCAUUCCUCCCUUGUGGUGGCACGUGUUUCUCAAGUUAAGCUCCAUGUUCCAAUUAACAUUAAUGAUCUUGACAUGAACAUAAAUAAAAUAACAAAAUAAUUGAACAUGGAUAUAAUGAAAUAUUAACCCAAAAUCAUGUAAAGCAAUAGCAAAACUACCCAUGUGAUUCAGGGAUAACAAGGUAAUAGGGAUAAACAGACUAGGGUGACCUAUUGGGUCCCAUCAAAAUUAAACCUAUGCAUGAAUGAAUGACAUUAAAGAACAUUAUUGGGUAUAAAAGUGGUCAAGGACACAACUUGCCUUCAAUGAACUCCUGCUCAGCUACUUCUAUCUGCUGGUCACCAGGAUCCUCGGUCACAAGCUCUUCUACUCGCCACAAUACAAACAAGCACAAUAUAUAGAGAAAAUUAACAUCACACCAAACAUGUAAACAAAAUACAUAAUAAUAAUCUACACAUUAAAAUAAAAUCCUAGGAACAGGAAUCAUAAUUUUUAGAGUUAUAGAUUUUAAGAUAUAAAUUUCCAAAGGUUUUAUGUGCUUGAUAUAUGAUUAAGUGAGAAAUUAUUUUUCUUACUGUUUUCAUGUCAAAACAGAGACUCUAAGUGAUAGAAAAUAAUAUUAUAAAAUUUUAGAAACUAGAAUGGAUUAAUUUGGACCAAGUAUAGAUUUUCUAUGAAUUUGACAAGUUCUAGUAAUUAUUUUCAUAUUAAAAAUCCAUUUUCCAAUUCAUUUAUUCAAUUUACAUGAGAUCUGGACUAGGCGUCAAUUAUUGUGAAGCGCAGGGGUCUCGGGGUAAAACUCCUAAGACUCAAAGAACAGUGAAUGAGGACAAAUGUGCUCGCGAAGAGGGUACGGGAUUACUCGGGCCGCCCGAUCAAAACCCGACGAGUGCGAUUAGAUCUAUUACAUCAUGAAGCGGUACGCGAUCCAGUCCCUCGGAUCAAAGACCAAAGGUUAGGAUUUAAAACACGCCAGAUCCACUCCAUCCCCACAUCGACGAUCCGACGGCUAAGACAAGCACAAGCCGAAACGGUACACUCACUCUAAUCUACACGGUCCAACUCUCAUCCGACAGUGCACGAACACUUCACCAACUGAACACACAUGCGCGGCGGCGCCGCCUGCGUUCGCGGCGGCCCAUGGCCGGCGUUCUCUCAGCUCGUGCGGCAAGGUGCUAGAUCCUAGUUUGAAUCGCGUUACACUACACCGAGAGAAAAACGAACAGAAUGGUACUAAAUCUUACCUCAGUUCGCAGCGAGAAACCUCCGGUCCAUGAGGUGGUGCGGGUUCGCGGCGGUUCUUCAACUACGGCGAGAAAUUUCGCCCACCACAGCCAGUCGCUCUGCCCGCCCACGGUUCACGC